rnacentral:rRNA from 1 species
CGAUCAGCCACACGGGAACUGAGACACGGUCCCGACUCCUACGGGGGGCAGCAGUGAGGAAUAUUGGGCAAUGGGCGAGAGCCUGACCCAGCAACGCCGCGUGGAGGAAGACGGCCUUCGGGUUGUAAACUCCUUUUGACAGGGAAGAGAGAGGACGGUACCUGUCGAAUAAGUCACGGCUAACUACGUGCCAGCAGCCGCGGUAAUACGUAGGUGACAAGCGUUAUCCGGAAUUACUGGGCGUAAAGCGCACGCAGGCGGCUGCUUAAGUCUGACGUGAAAUCUCCUGGCUUAACUGGGAGGGGUCGUUGGAAACUGGGUGGCUUGAGGUGGUGAGAGGGGUGCAGAAUUCCCGGUGUAGUGGUGGAAUGCGUAGAUAUCGGGAGGAAUACCAGUGGCGAAAGCGGCACCCUGGCACUGACCUGACGCUCAUGUGCGAAAGCGUGGGGAGCAAACGGGAUUAGAUACCCCGGUAGUCCACGCUGUAAACGAUGAGUACUAUGUGUGGGUGGAGUCAAAUCCAUCUGUGCCGAAGCAAACGCGCUAAGUACUCCGCCUGGGGAGUACGGCCGCAAGGCUAAACUCAAGGAAUUGACGGGGCCCGCACAGCAGCGGAGCGUGUGGUUUAAUUCGAUGCACACGAGAACUUUACCUGGU